AUCAAUCCUCUGGAUAUUGAAGUAUCAACUUUUGGUAAGGGCAAAAUGGAAUCUUAUUCAAGCUUCGAAACCAUCACUCGAUGCUGUAACGAGUAAACUAAAAAUGAAGGUAUGCUCAACACUUUCAAAAAGAUGCAGUUUUCGUUUCAAGUGUAUAUACUUUCAUUACAUACACAAAAUCUUAAUACUACCCAUCUCAAUACCAA
rnacentral:misc_RNA from 1 species